rnacentral:rRNA from 1 species
AGUGAACGCUGGCGGUAGGCCUAACACAUGCAAGUCGAACGGCAGCACAGUAAGAGCUUGCUCUUACGGGUGGCGAGUGGCGGACAGGUGAGGAAUACAUCGGAAUCUACUUUUUCGUGGGGGAUAACGUAGGGAAACUUACGCUAAUACCGCAUACGACCUACGGGUGAAAGCAGGGGAUCUUCGGACCUUGCGCGAUUGAAUGAGCCGAUGUCGGAUUAGCUAGUUGGCGGGGUAAAGGCCCACCAAGGCGACGAUCCGUAGCUGGUCUGAGAGGAUGAUCAGCCACACUGGAACUGAGACACGGUCCAGACUCCUACGAGAGGCAGCAGUGGGGAAUAUUGGACAAUGGGCGCAAGCCUGAUCCAGCCAUACCGCGUGGGUGAAGAAGGCCUUCGGGUUGUAAAGCCCUUUUGUUGGGAAAGAAAAGCAGCAGGUUAAUACCCCGCUGUUCUGACGGUACCCAAAGAAUAAGCACCGGCUAACUUCGUG